AUCUGCAGUCGAGGGGCAGCAGGGGUAGCAAUACCCGCUGGCGACCGGCAAACGGGUGCGGAACACGUACGCAACCUUCCUUCAAGCGGGAGAUAGCCCGGAGAAAUCCGGAUUAAUAUCCCAUAGGAUUGUGGAUCGGCAUCGAUCAGCAAUUAAAGAUUUAUCACUUGAAGAUGGGCGUGCGUCUGAUUAGGUAGUUGGUGAGGUAACGGCUCACCAAGCCGACGAUCAGUAACUGGCGUGAGAGCGCGACCAGUCACACGGGCACUGAGACACGGGCCCGACUCCUACGGGAGGCAGCAGUAAGGAAUAUUGGUCAAUGGACGCAAGUCUGAACCAGCCAUGCCGCGUGGAGGAUGAAGGUCCUCUGGAUUGUAAACUUCUUUUAUCUGGGAAGAAAUGGUUGCUUUCUAGCGAUCUUGACGGUACCAGAUGAAUAAGCACCGGCUAACUCCGUGCCAGCAGCCGCGGUAAUACGGAGGGUGCAAGCGUUAUCCGGAUUCACUGGGUUUAAAGGGUGCGUAGGCGGAACAGAAAGUCCGUUGUGAAAUCUCCGAGCUUAACUCGGAAAUUGCGGUGGAUACUAUUGUUCUUGAAUAUUGUUGAGGUUAGCGGAAUAUGUCAUGUAGCGGUGAAAUGCAUAGAUAUGACAUAGAACACCAAUUGCGAAGGCAGCUGGCUAAACAAAUAUUGACGCUGAGGCACGAAAGCGUGGGGAUCAAACAGGAUUAGAUACCCUGGUAGUCCACGCCCUAAACGAUGAUUACUCGACAUUUGCGAUACACAGCAAGUGUCUGAGCGAAAGCAUUAAGUAAUCCACCUGGGAAGUACGACCGCAAGGUUGAAACUC
rnacentral:rRNA from 1 species